rnacentral:rRNA from 1 species
UACGUAGGGCGCGAGCGUUGUUCGGAAUUACUGGGCGUAAAGCGCACGUAGGCGGCUUUGUAAGUUAGAGGUGAAAGCCCGGGGCUCAACUCCGGAAUUGCCUUUAAGACUGCAUCGCUAGAAUUGUGGAGAGGUAAGUGGAAUUCCGAGUGUAGAGGUGAAAUUCGUAGAUAUUCGGAAGAACACCAGUGGCGAAGGCGACUUACUGGACACAUAUUGACGCUGAGGUGCGAAAGCGUGGGGAGCAAACAGG